rnacentral:lncRNA from 10 species
AAGAGUCCUUGCUGUGAUUCAGGUGACAGUCAGUGACGGCCUAGACCAUGAUGGGAGACAGACCACAGGAAAGGUUCCAGCUAUACUUAGAAGGCAGAACACACACAACUUGGUGAUUGAUUGGCCAGGAGACUGAAGGAGAAGGAGAGGCUGAGAUGAUGCCUGGGGUAUGGCCCAGAGUGGUGGAGAAUUUACUGAGACCAGCACACAAGAGAAAAAGAUUAUGGGGACUGGGCACGAGAACAGUUUUGGAGAGAUUGGACUUACGAGUUUACAGGGCACAGCCAGGUGGAGAUGCUUCAGGAAGAGUCUGCAGCAAGUGUGCGAGUUUCUGCGCUUUUCCUCUACCCCUCAGCCCAGGGAGAAGAGAAUAAACCAUUAGGUUAUCAGCUGAGCAGUGCCCCGAGCCUAAUGCUUUUUCCCAGUGGAAGCUCCAGGCUUCAAGCUAUCUCUCUAGUGCCUAAGGCCAACAUGGAACAAUAGAAAUUCAAUGUUUAUUUUAAAAGAGAACUUUAUGAAACUACCGUGAAUGGGGAAAAAAUGGCAUCACUAGCCUGGAACAGAAAGUCACCCUCUGGAAUGACAAAGGAGCCAGCAUGUGCCUGGGCCAUCAAGCUGCCCAUUCAGCCAUGCUGAGUCUUGCCUGCCCACCUCAUCUCCCGCCUCACGCCAGAUCACACUGCCUAAUAUUUUACUCAGAUGUCUUCUUCAGUUCCCCAUUGGAGCCAAAAGUCUCCUUCCCCUGCCCUCUGCUGAGCUGGGGGUCACUGUGCCCUGUCUCUCAGCUCCUCUCGGAGCUUUCUCCAGCCUUCAGCUCUCAAAUGUCUUCAGCCUCUCUGCUAACUCAUCCUGGCCUGAAGCAAUUCUUGCCUGGAUUCUCUCCCGACUCAAGACAUCCCUCUAAGCGGAUUCACGCCCGCCACUCCAAGCCUUUUGGGAAAAACACCUUGCCUCCAUAGCUCAGCCGCCUUCUUAGGCCCAGGAACUCAGCCAUAUCCUACCCAUGUAGCUGAAGGUACUCCUUGGAAGGCCCCCAGUUCCUAGAUACCAAGUGCUUCUGGGCCCUCCUUCCCGUCCAGCCCAAACUUCCUGUGAGCCAGCUUUUCUUGAAGCAUCCUCGUAAUUCAUUGAACAUAUAGGAAUUUAGGAAGUCCCUCCAUGCCCUUUCUCCUGCCGCUCUGCUGUCCUGUCCCCUCUUCCCCUAGUUGGAGGGCAUUCCCAAGAACACACCUCUGGUCUUUAUCACUUUCCUCUUUCUCCAUGCCCUUGGCAGGAAGAUGCAAUCGCCAGAUUUCACUACGUGUGACCCCAGGCAAGUAAUAUAUUUAACUGCCUUGGGCCUCAGUUUUCACAUCUGUAGAGUGUGGUGAUGGUAGUCCCUAGAUCAAUGGGAUGUGAAUCACCUAGUGCAAGUAAAGCGUUCAGCGUUCUGCCCAGAAUUCAGUGGAUGCUCAAUGGAUGUUAGCCCUUAUCCACCUGCCAUGAUGUAAUAAUGCCCAAGUUCACAUGGACAACCCACAACCCUGGGAGAGGCUGUAAUGUGUACACACAGGUUCACCCUGAUCCCUCCUCCUAAGGCCAAUAUUCAAUGCAUAUGUACCAAAUGCCUGUGAGGCACUGCUAUUCUCGGCACUGGACAGCCCA